GAUGGUGGAGGUGCAGGUCCUGGUGCUUGAUGGUCGAGGCCAUCUCCUGGGCCGCCUGGCGGCCAUCGUGGCUAAACAGGUACUGCUGGGCCGGAAGGUGGUGGUGGUAGGCUGCGAAGGCAUCAACAUUUCUGGCAAUUUCUACAGAAACAAGUUGAAGUACCUGGCUUUCCUCCGCAAGCGGAUGAACACCAACCCUUCCGAGGGCCCUACCACUUCCGGGCCCCCAGCCGCAUCUUCUGGCGGACCGUGUGAGGUACGCUGCCCCACAAGACCAAGCGAGGCCAGGCCGCUCUGGACCGCCUCAAGGUGUUUGACAGCAUCCCACCGCCCUAUGACAAGAAAAAGCGGAUGGUGGUUCCUGCUGCCCUCAAGGUUGUGCGUCUGAAGCCUACAAGAAAGUUUGCCUAUCUGGGGCGCCUGGCUCACGAGGUUGGCUGGAAGUACCAGGCAGUGACAACCACCCUGGAGGAGAAGAGGAAAGAGAAAGCCAAGAUCUACUACCGGAAGAAGAAACAGCUCAUGAGGCUACGGAAACAGGCCGAGAAAAACGUGGAGAAGAAAACUGACAAAUACACAGAGGUCCUCAAGACACACGGACUCCUGGUCUGAGCCCAAUAAAGACUGUUAAUUCCU